UACGGGGGGGGCAAGCGUUGUUCGGAAUUACUGGGCGUAAAGGGCUCGUAGGCGGCCAACUAAGUCAGACGUGAAAUCCCUCGGCUUAACCGGGGAACCGCAUCUGAUACUGGAUGGCUUGAGUUCGGGAGAGGGAUGCGGAAUUCCAGGUGUAGCGGUGAAAUGCGUAGAUAUCUGGAGGAACACCGGUGGCGAAGGCGGCAUCCUGGACCGGCACUGACGCUGAGGAGCGAAAGCGUGGGGAGCGAACAGG
rnacentral:rRNA from 1 species